AAAAAACUGAUCUACAAUCCAUAUUCCUUCCCUUUUCUUACUUGAUUAUACCUGGGAGAAUAAGACUUAAGUGUCUAUUCCUAACGCUGCAGGAGUAUGAAGCUUAUUCAUAGCUGAGAGCAUAGAGAGCAGCUCAGACAAACCCAGGCAGGAUCACUUCAGAAUGCCUUUUGGAAGAUGCUUUGCCAUACGCAGGAGUAUGAAGCUUAUCCAUAGCUGAGAGCAUAGAGAGCAGCUCAGACAAACCCAGGCAGGAUCGCCUUUUGGAAGAUGCUUUGCCAUACGCAGGAGUAUGAAGCUUAUCCAUAGCUGAGAGCAUAGAGAGCAGCUCAGACAAACCCAGGCAGGAUCACUUCAGAAUGACUUUUGGAAGAUGCUUUGCCAUACAGGGAGUGGCAGUCUUUAGAAGAGGGUUUCUGGAAGGAUCACAGAAAUGCGACCACAGAAGUGCAAAGUCUCCGGUCAUCAAGCUCUCAGAGUGUUCUCUGCAACAAUGUGACAGGGUAUAAUGAUUCUAUAAAUACUGAUCUCCAGCUCACCCAUCUGCCAAGGAAAUAUUUUCCCAGCAUCUGAAUUAAGUGGAGAACUGCUUAACUAAAGGACAGAUGAAGCAAAUCAUCCAUCUUCAGCGAUCACUCAUGGCUUUGUUCAUGAAUGAUGGUUUCACCACACUGCCCAGGAUGGCCUUGAACUCCUGGGCUCAAGUGAU
rnacentral:lncRNA from 1 species